rnacentral:rRNA from 1 species
AAUCAACGCUGGCGGCGUGCCUCAGACAUGCAAGUCGAACGCGAAAUUCCCUUUCGGGGGGAGAGUAGAGUGGCGCACGGGUGAGUAACACGUAGGUAAUCUACCUCUGGGUGGGGAAUAACAGCCGGAAACGGCUGCUAAUACCGCAUAAUGCAGCGGCAUCAAAUGAUGACAGUUGUUAAAGCGGGGGAUCCUGAAAGGGACCUCGCGCCUGAAGAGGAGCCUGCGGCAGAUUAGCUAGUUGGUAAGGUAACGGCUUACCAAGGCAACGAUCAGUAGCUGGUUUGAGAGGAUGAUCAGCCAGACUGGGACUGAGACACGGCCCAGACUCCUACGGGAGCAGCAGUUAGGAAUCUUCCACAA